rnacentral:miRNA from 1 species
GUGUUGGGAUCACCGCGGUAA